rnacentral:misc_RNA from 1 species
GAAAUGCGAUAAGUAAUGUGAAUUGCAGAAUUCCGUGAAUCAUCGAAUCUUUGAACGCACAUUGCGCCCUCUGGCAUUCCGGGGGGCAUGCCUGUCCGAGCGUCAUUACGCACCCUCAAGCCCGGCUUGUGUGAUGGCCCCCGGCGUCUCGUUCGCGAGACGGGCCCGAAAGGCAGCGGCGGCGUCGACCCGAUGAGCCCGAGCGUAUGGGGACUUCUGUCACACGUUCGCGGUGCGGACCGGCGCCUGCUUUGACUUUUCUGAUUAUCCAGGUUGACCUCGGAUCAGGUAGGGAUACCCGCUGAACUUAAGC